rnacentral:lncRNA from 1 species
UUGUGCAUACAUAAAUAACUCUCCCCUUUCUUUACUAAAUCCCUAUAAGUUAUUACAAAUUUAUUACAUACCAAAUGAAGCAAACAAAAAAAUAAAAUUACAUAAGAACUUUAAGUUACAUCCAAGGAGCCUAAUUCAGACUCAAGGUCUAACAAUAUGGGAUGAACCAACUGCCGGGAUCAGGUUCCAAAGCCUCUCUCUUAUCUGGAGUGUGUCAAAGCUCAAAGGAUUUUCAAGAAUUCUAGGCAAUGCUUACACCCAGAUAUCAUUACAAGACUGAAUUAAAGUGCAGUGUGGAAGGGUCAUCCCUCAAACGUCCAAGUUCAGAGGGAACUCAAGGUCCCAAGGAGGGUCAUUGGAGAGGGCAGAACUUAGAGUUUAGGAACAAGUGUAAGUGCAAUAGAGAAAAUUAGGUGGUGCCAAGGCAGGCUAGUGGUCAUGCCCAACAACAUUGAAUGUUGGCACACCCCUGACCAACCUACUAGCCAAAUAUUGGAGAGUCUGGGCCUAGUGAAGGUCAUGCCAUGGCCUGGGCAGUAAUUAGGAUACUGUCGGGCCAAGGCCUUAACUCAACACAUAGAAGGGAUUGGGGGUAGGGAUUCAUAUGGUAAGAAAAACAAAGAAAGAAAAAUGCUUAGCAUAACUUAUACAAUAUGAACAGCAAACCAAACAAAAGAAUGAAACUAUAGAGUAAACACAUAGGAUGAGGCAAGAGUUUGAAUAAGAGACAUACCAAUUUCAGAAAUAGACAAGCAAAAGAAGCAGAAGUUUUGCAAAUAGGCCACAGUGCAAGCAGCAAGAGAGAAUACUUUUGUGUGUGAGUGUGAGUUCAGAAAAGACUCGAGUGUUGGUUUUUUUGUUAAUAAAAAGAGUAGGUAUCUAUAAUAUGAAAAACAUGCAGAAAUAAGGUAAGGACUUUAAUUCAAACGUAAUUGGAGGAAUAUGUGUCUACUGAAAUCAAAUCAGUAUCAAAGUCUUCCUUGUGUAGUUUUUGAUAAAAAGAGUAGGUAUUUAUAGUGUGAGAAACAGACAGAAAAUAAGGUAAGGACUGUAAUUCUGACAUAAUUAGGGAAUAUAUGUCAAUUAAAAUCAAAUCAGUAUCAAAGACUUCCUUUAAUAAAGGAAUUAAACCAAACGGUAGCAUGCAAGUGUUAAAUAAGGAAAGAAAUCACGUAGGGCUAGACAUGACCAAUAAGGAAAUAUUUUCAACACAGUAUGAGUACACAAUAGGUAAUAGAGGUUAGGUUCUUUAGACCUUAAUUAAGGAAAGGUCUGUAAGAAUCCCAUACUAAUGCAAUUAAGGUAAUGGAAUCAAAUCAACUUAAGUAGAAAGGUCGGGUCGAAAGUUCAAAGAAAGGUAUUUCAACAAGUCCAAGAAACAAGUGAAAUCAAUACAAUACGGAAAGAAUCAAUUACAAGAGUGCAAUCAGAAUUACACAAAGAUUUGAAAUCAGUCUGCAAUCAAAGGUUAUUUUGAGAGGAAAUUUAACCUACAAAGAGUGCAUAAACAUUAAGCAUGCGAGGCUGGAUUUAGGACAAAGAAGAGUGUCAUGGAAUCAAAAAUUAGUGAGUAGAGGACAAUAGGAAAAUGGUAGUCAUCUCAGAGAAGAGGGAAUAUCAGAUAGCAGGUAAAAGGUCAAGUACAAAGGACUUAUAGAGUGUAGCAAAAGGUCAGAAUUGUAUGAAGAAACAAAGUUGACAAAAAGAUUUUGAAACUCAAACGAGCAGUAGAGAAAACAACUUCAGGAACUCAAAUAGGUCCAACGAGACUAGGGUUUUGAAACCCAAUAAGCUCAGAGGUGAGAAACAAACAAAUCACAUAACAAAUAGCCUCAAAAACUCGAAUGAACCCCAAAUUAUAGGGCUUUUACUAUUAAUCAAGUGAAAAGAUAAAAGCAAUUAAAUCAGGCAAAAAUAACAAUGAAAUAAGUGCAAAAAUUAUAAAGUAACAGAUACUUCCCAGUAGAAGAAACUCAUGAAAAACAUAAUAAAAGAAUAAUCAUGCAGAAAUACAGUAGAAGAACUCAUAAGGUAGAAAUACAGUAGAAGAAACACAUAAGGAUCAUAGUAGAAGAAACAUAUAAGAAUCACAGUAGAGCAUUGUAAAAAUCAAACCCUAAAUUUGAGAAGAUGAAAGGUUUAAAAGCAAAGUUUUGAAAUAAAAUUUUGAGAAAAUGUUUGAGACCUUAAGAUAAACACAGAUCUAAGACAGAUCUAGAGAAAUCAGAAGAACCUCGAAUGGUUAGGGUUUAAAAAGAAACCUGGAAGUGGGAAAGGCCUGAAAAACUCGUGGACCUAAGCAUGAGAAGUUAGAAUCAGGCUCGAACGACCAUGAUACGCCGGAGUAAAGCCGGAGACGACCAUAGAACCCUGAAUCGAAGGAGACCUGGGUGCAGAUCUUCAAGUUCAAGCCUUGAAACCUUAGAAAACUGGUGUAUAAGACUACCAUGGGUGGGUAUAAGACCCUCAUAGCUUUGGUGGCCAUAGAUUUCGGUGGAUCUUCGGUCUAAGACUGCAAGAGGCGGCUAGGGUUUGAGAAUCCUUAAGAGAGUUUAAGAAAGUAGAGGGUUUCAGAGGUGGCGGCUGGUGACAAAUGUUGCAGGGUAAAGGGGUCGUUGAAUUAAAAAGGAAGGGGAUGAGGGGAGCCGUUGAUCUAAAAUGGGUUAAAUGGGGAUCAGGUUUGGGUAUGAUAGGAGAGG